rnacentral:rRNA from 1 species
AGUGAACGCUGGCGGUAGGCCUAACACAUGCAAGUCGAACGGCAGCACAGUAAGAGCUUGCUCUUACGAGUGGCGAGUGGCGGACGGGUGAGGAAUACAUCGGAAUCUACUUUAUCGUGGGGGAUAACGUAGGGAAACUUACGCUAAUACCGCAUACGACCUACGGGUGAAAGAAGGGGAUCUUCGGACCUUGCGCGAUUGAAUGAGCCGAUGUCGGAUUAGCUAGUUGGCGGGGUAAAGGCCCACCAAGGCGACGAUCCGUAGCUGGUCUGAGAGGAUGAUCCGCCACACUGGAACUGAGACACGGUCCAGACUCCUACGGGAGGCAGCAGUGGGGAAUAUUGGACAAUGGGCGCAAGCCUGAUCCAGCCAUACCGCGUGAGUGAAGAAGGCCUUCGGGUUGUAAAGCCCUUUUGUUGGGAAAGAAAAGCAGCAGGUUAAUACCCCGCUGUUCUGACGGUACCCAAAGAAUAAGCACCGGCUAACUUCGUG